GACUAACGCUGGGGGUUCGCUUGCACAUGCAAGUCGAGCGAUGAGAUUUCUACUGAUCCCUUCAGGGUGAAGAUGAAAUGGAUUACCGGCGGACGGUGGACUCACUCUUGAGUAACCUGCCUUAGACAUUGGGAUAGCCUCGAUAAACCGGGAUGAACACCUGAUGGAAUCGCAUAUGCACAUGCAUAAGUGAUCAAAGCUCCUGCGGUCUAAUAUGGACUCUCGUCCCAUUAUCUACUUGGUGAGGUAACAGCCCACCACGGCCACGAUGGGUAGCCGGCCUGACAGGGUGAACGGACACAUUGGAACUGAUACACGGUCCAAACUCCUACGGAAGGCAGCAGUGGGGAAUAUUGCACAAUGGAGGCAACUCUGAUGCAGCGACGCCGCGUGAACGAAGAACGCUUUCCAGUCGUAAAGUUCUUUUAUAUGGGAAGAUAAUGACGGUACCAUAAGAAAAAGCCCCGGCUAACUACGUGCCAGCAGCCGCGGUAAUACGUAGGGGGCUAGCGUUGUCCGGAAUCACUGUGCGUAAAGGGUUCUCAGGCGGAAAUGCACGUCACGUGUAAAAGGCAGUAGCUUAACUACUGUAAGCAUUUGAAACUGCAUAUCUUGAGAAGAGUAGAGGUAAGUGGAAUUUUUAGUGUAGCGGUGAAAUGCGUAGAUAUUAUAAAGAAUACCGGUGGCGAAGGCGACUUACUGGGCUCAUUCUGACGCUGAGGAACGAAAGCGUGGGUAGCAAACAGGAUUAGAUACCCUGCUAGUCCACGCUGUAAACGAUGAGUGCUAGGUAUCGGAAUAAUUCGGUUCUGCAGUUAACACAUUAAGCACUCCGCCUGGGGAGUACGUGCGCAAGCAUGAAACUCUAAGGAAUUGACGGGGACCCGCACACCCCGCCGAGCAUGUGGGUUAAUUCGAAGCAACGCGAAGAACCUUACCAGGGCUUGACAUACUGAGGACCGGUACAGAGAUAUACCCUCUUCCUCGGAAGCCUCAAUACAGGGGGGGCAUGGUUGUUGUCAGCUUGUGUUGUGAGAUGUUCAGUUAAGUCUGGCAACGAGCGCAACCCCUAUCUUUAGUUACCAGCAUUUCGGAUGGGGACUCUAAAGAGACUGCCGAUGAUAAAUCGGAGGAAGGUGGGGAUGACGUCAAAUCAUCAUGCCNUUAUGUCCCUGGGUUACACCCGUGUUCCAAUGGAAGAUCCAAAGGGAAGGGAAAUAGUGAUAGUAAGCAAUCCUCAAAAAGUCUUUUCCAGUUGGGUUGGUGUUUUGCAAUUGGAGUACAGGAAGAGGGAGUUGUUGGUAAUGGCAGUUCAGAAUGCUGCGGUGAAUGCGUUCUCGGGUCU
rnacentral:rRNA from 1 species